rnacentral:rRNA from 1 species
UGGGGAAUAUUGGACAAUGGGCGAAAGCCUGAUCCAGCCAUGCCGCGUGUGUGAAGAAGGUCUUCGGAUUGUAAAGCACUUUAAGUUGGGAGGAAGGGCAGUAAGCGAAUACCUUGCUGUUUUGACGUUACCGACAGAAUAAGCACCGGCUAACUCUGUGCCAGCAGCCGCGGUAAUACAGAGGGUGCAAGCGUUAAUCGGAAUUACUGGGCGUAAAGCGCGCGUAGGUGGUUCGUUAAGUUGAAUGUGAAAGCCCCGGGCUCAACCUGGGAACUGCAUCCAAAACUGGCGAGCUAGAGUAGGGCAGAGGGUGGUGGAAUUCCCUGUGUAGCGGUGAAAUGCGUAGAUAUAGGAAGGAACACCAGUGGCGAAGGCGACCACCUGGGCUCAUACUGACACUGAGGUGCGAAAGCGUGGGGAGCAAACAGG